rnacentral:rRNA from 1 species
GAAGGGACCUAGCGUAGUUCGGAAUUACUGGGCUUAAAGAGUUCGUAGGUGGUUGAAAAAGUUGGUGGUGAAAUCCCAGAGCUUAACUCUGGAACUGCCAUCAAAACUUUUCAGCUAGAGUAUGAUAGAGGAAAGCAGAAUUUCUAGUGUAGAGGUGAAAUUCGUAGAUAUUAGAAAGAAUACCAAUUGCGAAGGCAGCUUUCUGGAUCAUUACUGACACUGAGGAACGAAAGCAUGGGUAGCGAAGAGGAUUAGAUACCCUCGUAGUCCAUGCCGUAAACGAUGUGUGUUAGACGUUGGAAAUUUAUUUUCAGUGUCGCAGCGAAAGCGAUAAACACACCGCCUGGGGAGUACGACCGCAAGGUUAAAACUCAAAUGAAUUGACGGGGACCCGCACAAGUAGUGGAGCAUGUGGUUUAAUUCGAAGAUACGCGCAGAACCUUACCAACACUUGACAUGUUCGUCGCGACUCUAAGAGAUUAGAGUUUUCGGUUCGGCCCGGACGAAACACAGGUGCUGCAUGGCUGUCGUCAGCUCGUGUCGUGAGAUGUUGGGUUAAGUCCCGCAACGAGCGCAACCCUCAC